rnacentral:lncRNA from 1 species
CUGGGAGCUGUAGACCGGCGCUGUUCCUAUUCGGCCAUCUUGGCUCGAAAGAGAUGUACAGGUUUUAUGUGGAUAUAAGUUUUUAUUUCCCUGGGAUAAAUGCCCAAAAUGAGAUUGUAGUGUUAUGUGGGUGGACUAUCCUUUUGCUGAGCAGGACUGAAAUAUAAAACAGAAAACCUGAGAGGGAAGAAGUAACGCUAUAUAGAAGACAAUUCAUAAUGUAAAAAGGUCUGCAUGGAAGAGGAUUGAAGAGCCAGAUGACAGAUGAGAGCCAAAAGGUUUGGAGGUAUUUAGAAGGAUUGCUGCUGAGAAUUGUUGAAUUUAAAUUUUUAAUCCAAUCUGUUUUAGCAGGAGAUUUCAACACAAUUACCAAUAACGUCAAUUAUUUAAUAAUUUGAUGGAAAACAACUUGUAAAGAGUCAGUGAGAAUCAACAUUUUUGUGGGACCGAGAUGGAGUUUGGGGUGUAAGAUGGCUGUCACAUCUGCAAAAG